rnacentral:rRNA from 1 species
UACAGAGGUCUCAAGCGUUGUUCGGAUUCAUUGGGCGUAAAGGGUGCGUAGGUGGCGCGCUAAGUCAGGUGUGAAAUUUCGGAGCUUAACUCCGAAACUGCAUUUGAUACUGGCGUGCUUGAGGACUGGAGAGGAGACUGGAAUUCAUGGUGUAGCAGUGAAAUGCGUAGAGAUCAUGAGAAAGACCAGUGGCGAAGGCGGGUCUCUGGACAGUUCCUGACACUGAGGCACGAAGGCCAGGGGAGCAAACGGG